rnacentral:rRNA from 1 species
GGAGUUAGGACCGUGUCUCAGUUCCUAUGUGGGGGACCUUCCUCUCAGAACCCCUACUGAUCGUCGCCUUGGUGGGCCGUUACCCCGCCAACAAGCUAAUCAGACGCAUCCCCAUCCAUGACCGAUGAAUCUUUGAUUGAGCCCCGAUGCCGAGAUUCAACCACAUCCGGUAUUAAUCCUCCUUUCAGAGGGCUAUCCCAGAGUCAUAGGCAGGUUGGAUACGUGUUACUCACCCGUGCGCCGGUCGCCAUCGAUCGAAGCAAGCUUCGAUCAUGCUGCCCCUCGACUUGCAUGUGUUAAGCCUGUAGCUAGCGUUCAUC